AGUCAGGUGUAGGUCAUAAGACCUGGCAGCUGUCCCCGGUGCCAUCUUGGGGCAGCGGCCGCACCCGCUCCUCACACUUGAGCUCAUAGCUUAAGGGCACAGUCUGUUUUAACGGGAAAGCGUGCAUGAAAGUGUGAGACAGCUGGUCACACUGCAUCUACAGCCAGCAAACACCUCUCACUCAUGAGAUGGAGAAACAAUGGAAUUAAAAUGGUACUGUAUAAAAUAUCUACACAGCACAAAUGCAGCUGGAAUACUUUCCCUCAAUCAUCUUUGCUCUGUGUGUGAUCUGGCACAGCUCAAGACAGUAACUUCAGUUCUGAAUACUGAUAGCACUGUAUAAGGGAAGUGUAAUACCAUCUACAGAGGAGGAAGCACCGCUGACUGUCUUCAUGUCCCUGAGAUCACAGGUCCACAGUAAUACCAUCUACAGAGGAGGAAGCACAGCUGACUGUCUUCACAUCCCCGAGAUCACAGGUCCACACAGAACCCUUUUGACAGAAUUCAAGGGAGGCAGACAUUUCAACCACUGAAAAACCAAACCAAACCAAAAUCCAAAACAUGGGUUCCACCCUAGCCAGCCACCUUCAAGAACCACAGGUCUUCAUAAAGUAUUUCUGGCUAAUGAGGACUGUGUUUACAGCUGAGUGGCAAGAUCUACUAGUGGGUUGUGCAAUCAUUGGGUGACUAAUAACACACUUAUUUUGAAAAUAGCCUGGAAAAGACUACAAUGAAGUAGAAUUAAAAAAAGUCAAAGCACAUCAUACCUACAAAAAAAUGAAUGUUGGAAAUCACCAGGCAUGGUCAGGAAAGAGAUGACAGGUGUUUGUGGUGAGUUUGUGCAUGUGAGAGUCAAGAAGCUCACAAUCACUGUGCUCAGCACACACGGGGGUGACCUAAGAGGUGACGUUGGACCCUGACCAGGCCGUUGUACUGAGUUAUGAGUAAAAACAUUCUUCUGCAUGCAGAGAACCAAAAUAGGCUCUCGCUCUCAGAGGUGUCACGACAGGACACCUGAGAGCUGUGCAGAAGGCUCAUCCAAGCAGUAACCAGAUAGUAGCUGCAGUUGCAGCAGACAACAAGGAACAAGGCCUAUGUACACUUGCUUUCUUCCUGCUGCAGAAUUGAGCACACGUGGCACAUACAGCCUACAUCUCUCAUAGCUUCUGUGACAGUGUUCUGGCUGUGGGCUUCUCAUUUUCCAUAGAUCACCAAAAUUUCUUGACCCCCUCCCCCCUCAAAAAAAUUGUGCAUCAUGCUCGUGGCCAGCUGAGUAGUGUGGUUUUAUUCAAUGCCAGUGUCCUGCAGAAGGAAUGCGUGCUGUUAUCGGGAGCAUCUUCACUAUUCAGCCUGUCUCACACACUGCUGUUUAAUAUGUGAAGGGUCAGUGACAGUUGCCACAGAAAGAAAGCUUCAGUGUAAGGGAUCUCAGAAAGGGAAGCCAGGGGGGAUGUUGAGUCGACUGCAGGAGCUCCGCAAGGAGGAGGAAACCCUGCUGCGUCUAAAGGCGGCUCUGCACGACCUACUGAACCACCUCAAGGUUGAAGAAUUAGCCCUUCAAUCCAUGAUAAAUUUUCGAGGAAGGACUGAGACACCGUCUUCUCAGCCUGCACCUGAACAGUUAUGUGAUAUGUCCCUACAUGUAGACAAUGAAGUGACAAUAAAUCAGACUACACUGAAGCUGAGUACAAGGAGCCCUAUGGAAGAAGAGGAGGAGGAAGAGGAGGAGGAAGAAUCUGAUUCGUAAAGGGGGAUCAAGGGCAGGGUAGUUAUACAAACUAAGUCUCAGGUGCUUCAUCUCUUCAAAGUCAUCUUGCAGGGCCUAUGUGAAAGAUAAACUUAUGAAUGGAAGAGGCUCAGCCCAUAAAGUAUCUACAUUCAAAUAUGAAGACCUGAGUUUGGAGCCCCAGAAUCUGUAUAAAAACAUAGAGUGUCACAUGCCUGUAACCCCAGCACUGGGGAUAGGAAGAACAACAGAUCCCAGAAGCACACUGGCCAGCCCGUCUAGCCAAACCAGUGAGUUCUGAUUCACUCAGAGACCUGUCUGAAGAGAACAGUUAUAAUGGCAUAGAGGCCCAGCACAUCUCAAUCCCAGCACACGAGAAAAGGGAUUAAAUAGCAAGCUGCAAAAAUAAAAAUAAAAAAUAAAAAAUAAAAAAAAGGGAAGCCAGAGAGACUGGGGUUGGGGGGGGGGCAGUUACCAAGCAAAGCAACCAACAAAACAAGUAUAAAACCAUUCUUCCUUUAAAUACACAUUAUUCCACAUACAUUCUAGACCAGGUACUGUGCUGGACCUGGGAAACUGACAAGGCUAAGACAUGGUGCCCUAACAGGACAUGGCUGGCAACUGGAGUGAUUCUUAGAGAUAACAUUUCCUAGAAACAACUCCUGCUCACAGAACUUUAUAUACAUUAAUCUGAUAACUUUAAGGGGCAGGCAGGAGCUGUUAUUGAUAUUUUAUAAAUAAUAAAACUAAGCCACACAGAGUUAAUGCCUUGCCUGAGCACCACUGUAAGUGGCAGAGCUGGGGUUGGUCUUAUCUUUAAUGCAUUGCGUUGGAUCCUGCCUGAGUCUGGGACACAAGUAGGAAACAAACACUCAAGAAAUGAUACAGUUCAGCUGUGCACACACCACCUACAACUGACACAGAGACGACUGUCCACAGGGAUGCGUCCUAGAAGGAGUUCAGAGGAGAUGAUCAGGGAAGGAGCCUCAGGAGAGCCAUGUAUAAUGGAACAAUGAGAGAGAUACUGCACUUUGCCUUGUGGAAAGAGUGGUGGUGGGCAUCCCAGGGGGUCAGGAUUUCAA